GAACGUUUUGGAAUACGGAACACAAGAAGACUUCCUCAGGCACUGCCUGUCUGGACCACAGUGUAGGACGCGCGAAUCUGCAGCUAGGGGGAUUCUGUGAUCACAAAGAACCCGGUGCUCAGAUUGCCUGUAUCUGGAGGGAACUCACCUGAAGGAAAAGCAACCGUGCUUUCCACAGACUCCAAAUCAUCCUCACGCUCGCCGAAAGCAGGGCGACUUUCCCCAUAGAAACAGAAGUUCUGGAUUCUCGAGAUGAGAGGGAGGCAUUUCCAUUAUCUCUGUUGGGCUCCUCAAGAGAGUUGCAUGUUCUGAUGCUUGAAGGUGACGUAACCAGCUUCUGGUGACACUCAGGCCUGGCACUGCCAACCGUGUGAACUACAGCCUUCUCCUUAUUAACCACGAUCAUCACUGACUGCUCAAGGAAGAGCCUGGGGUUUGACUCCCCAAGGGGACACUGUGACUACCAGCACAGAGCUGCCUGCCCAGCUGGGCUGCUGACUGAUGGGAAGAGGGGGCUGCAGCCUGGGAAGGUCAAGGGGGAGAAAAAGCCCAGCUCUCACCUGGAUGGACACAGGCUUUCUGUCAGGGGUCUCGCUAUAUUGCCCAUACCUGGGAGCUCAAGCGAUUCUCCCCUCAGCCUCCAGUCUCAGCCUCCCAAGUAGCUGGGAAUGACUUGUACCCCUG
ensembl:lncRNA